AGGCUUUGAAGUGUGGACGCCAGUCUGCAUGGAGCCGACCUUGAAAUACCACCCUUUAAUGUUUGAUGUUCUAACGUGGACCCGUAAUCCGGGUUGCGGACAGUGUCUGGUGGGUAGUUUGACUGGGGCGGUCUCCUCCUAAAGAGUAACGGAGGAGCACGAAGGUUGGCUAAUCCUGGUCGGACAUCAGGAGGUUAGUGCAAUGGCAUAAGCCAGCUUGACUGCGAGCGUGACGGCGCGAGCAGGUGCGAAAGCAGGUCAUAGUGAUCCGGUGGUUCUGAAUGGAAGGGCCAUCGCUCAACGGAUAAAAGGUACUCCGGGGAUAACAGGCUGAUACCGCCCAAGAGUUCAUAUCGACGGCGGUGUUUGGCACCUCGAUGUCGGCUCAUCACAUCCUGGGGCUGAAGUAGGUCCCAAGGGUAUGGCUGUUCGCCAUUUAAAGUGGUACGCGAGCUGGGUUUAGAACGUCGUGAGACAGUUCGGUCCCUAUCUGCCGUGGGCGCUGGAGAA
rnacentral:rRNA from 1 species